AGAAAAUUAGAAGGCUAUGAUCCGCGCAGAAAGCUAAAAAUGGUUGCCCAUUAUUGCGCGGGGAGUCAAAUGGCAAAACCGAUCUAAUUUAAU
rnacentral:ncRNA from 1 species